GAAACGCUGGCGGCGUGCUCAACACAUGCAAGUCGAACGAACCUUCGGGUUAGUGGCGGACGGGUGAGUAACGCGUGAGAAUCUGCCCUCAGGAGGGGGAUAACAGCUGGAAACGGCUGCUAAUACCCCAUAUGCCGCGAGGUGAAAUGAAUUUCGCCUGAGGAUGAGCUCGCGUCUGAUUAGCUAGUUGGUGUGGGUAAUGGCUCACCAAGGCAUCGAUCAGUAGCUGGUCUGAGAGGAUGAUCAGCCACACUGGGACUGAGACACGGCCCAGACUCCUACGGGAGGCAGCAGUGGGGAAUUUUCCGCAAUGGGCGAAAGCCUGACGGAGCAACGCCGCGUGAGGGAUGAAGGCCUCUGGGCUGUAAACCUCUUUUAUCAAGGAAGAAGAUCUGACGGUACUUGAUGAAUAAGCCACGGCUAAUUCCGUGC
rnacentral:rRNA from 1 species